CUGCUCCUGCCCCAGCCCCUGCCCCAGCCCGUCUGCAGCCUUCCCCAGCCCCUGUCCCUAUCUGACAGGACCCUGCUUGCUCUCUGCUCUCACUCUGCCCCCUCCCCCUGUUUUCUGCCCCGUCCUCUGCCCCUGCCAGCCUCCCCGCCCGCUCACCUGCCCCUGGCCACCUCGCCUCACCUGGCUCCCUGAUUCCUCCUGACCCACGCCCGCCUGGCCGUGACCCUGUGUCCAUGUGACCCUUCCCAUCACAAGUUUACAGCGGAAAAGCCUGUCGGGCAGGGCUCAGAGGUCCCCGGUGCAGCUGUUUUAGCCCCAUGCUGGUUUCCAAGACAGCAAUUUGCCCCAUUGCAAGACAGCUCAGAACAGCAGUCUCAUAUACUUCUAGAUGCUGAAAAAAUCUGGAAAGGAAUGUGGAAUUCACUUGUUCCAGUUUCAUAACUGUCCCUAUCACACCUCUCCACAGAGCACUGUCAGCCAGUGCCAGCUACCCAAGGACAGAUACUGCUUUAAGUGUGGGAAUAACAGAAAGAGUCUCUUCAACCAUUACAUUUUGAGCGAAAGAAAGGGCACAGAGCUACCCAGAGUCAAGCUUUGAAAUUUUUUUUCCACUGAUGAGAGUAGCAGCUUAGCCUGUUCUUUUCUAUAUCACCUGCCACUGGAAAAGAGCACAUUAAGCUUCUGCAUGGGAUGCCGAACACCUGAACCAAAACUACAGUGAGGAAAUAUUUAUGAGGACUAUCUCCUUUGCUUCCAUCCACUGAGCCUUUUUACACAGACAAUGCUUUAGAGAUUUACCAAGGGGGUUCCUAUUCCCAUUAACUCCAGCCAACACAGGCUUGGUCCUAUGCUUUGCCAAAGGUCUGUUGAGGUGGCAGCUGUACCCAUCAUUUGCAGGAUGGACAGAAAGACAUUACAGAAGGGAAAGGCAUCCACUGAUCUUCAGUCAGCUCUGAGAGAGACCUUUUUCUACCUCAGGCCUCCUGAACUAGAGAAGUUCAUGUCCACUGUGCAGUAUCUGUGCAUGGAUGCAGCACCUCCCCUGCCCAUUCUCUUCCAGUCUCUGCGACACUGUGGCACUGACCGUAGAAGUACCACACACCCAAGGAGCAGUGGAACAGGCUCAGGGAUGUGUGCUUGUGAAACCCACAUGGAAUCACUCCCAACAAGACUACUGCUCACAUACGUACAAUUGCAUGUUGAAGCAUCUUCUGUGUCAUGGUGUCUCAUUUCUCUGCUGCUCGGAAGGAAGUACCACCAAUGAUUGAGGCAGAGAAGAGUGUGCAGCUCUGUCUCAGGUCUGUUUUCAUCUACAGAGCGUGCACUUGUGGUUUGCCUUGUCUUUUCUGUCUCCCUCUGCAGUGGUGUUUCGAGAAAGCGGAUUUUCCCCCUCAGGGAGAAUUUGCCCUGCUGAUGCACAGAUCCCAAUGCUGUACUUUAGAAUACUGCAUGCUGCAUUGCAAGUGUGGUGGCAGACAUCUGGCAUCAUCUUCCAAAGGCUGCAGAUUAUGAUUUUUUACCCCAAACUCAAUCAAAAGUGGUACUGGCACUCUUUAUUAAUCCAAAACCUGCAUUUUGGCUAUUAAUUCACUAAGGAGCUCCAAUAAAAAUUUGAUAAUUUUUGUCAUAUUUCACCCCUACAGCCCUAUCUAGUUUGUGCUUCCCACAUGAUAAGUGCUUUCACUCUGAUAAGCUGCAUUGGCUCACAAAUUAAACCAAAAAGGCUGCUUCAUUCUCCUUACACUGUACAUAACCAGGAGAUUUGGAGAAGAACAGGAAAGGACAGAGAGGUAUUAUCUUUUUAAGUCUGUCCAACAGAACAACUUCUGCAGCACAUCGUGUGGGAGGUAGCCUUCAGGAAGUGUUUUUUUGCAGUCCAGUGGGUGCUUUGAAUCCAGGUCUGUUUGAGCACCUCUCAGGAUGCCUUCACUGUCUUCUAUGGGUGGACCCUGUGCUCAAAUAUUUAUAGAUUACUACUAUGCAGGAACUGCAAGGAUAGAUGGUCUCCUCUUCAGAAAAGAAGUGGGAAGAGCAGAAGCCCCACCAUCCUUUCUGAUCUCUGUGCCUGCUCUUGGCAACAAGAAUAAGUUUUAUUAUGAAAUAUAAGAGCUCUUACCCCAGAACACGAGGUGAAGUGGCUGCUCUUGUGUCUCAGCUGAGACUGAAACCGGCCUGGAAACCCUGAGGUCAGUUUACCUAGAGAAAGGAGCCGGCUACUGUGACAUUUCCCUCUGGAGGGUGACUGCAGCACCU